ACGAUGCCGAAAAUGAAGAAGACGAAGAAGCACAGCAGAAGGACGUUCCCGAGCAUGGGCAGCGUAUCCAGCAGCAGAGUGACCAGGAUCCGCAUGCCUGUGGGCAGCAGGGCCAGGAUUGGCACUGCUAAGCCCUGCAGGAGUGUCCUCGGGGCUGCAGCCCCUCCCGGGACCCCCGAGCCCCGUCCACUGUUCACAGUGGGUGUCCACGCCCACUGCACACUGACUCGGGCCACCCCCUGGUGAUUUUCCCGCACCCCUAGUGUGAUCGGGACUCCCCUCCUACCACCACCGGCCUCCAGGGACACUGACACCCUGGGGUCUGACGUGCAUCCAGCGGGGCGCCAGGUCUCCACCUCCAACCAUCCCAGGGCAGCAGGUCUGCUGCUUUUGGAGGGCUGGGGUGUGGAGGGGCAGGAGUGGAGGCAGGGGACUGGCCGAGGCAGGGAACUGGCUGCGGCAGGUCUGACCACGUGGCAUCUCGGGCUCGGGAUGACCAGGCGGAGCCCAGUGGCCCUCGAGGCUUGUCUGGCGACACCCUGAAGUUGCCACCAAGGCAGCAGGAGCCUUGGGAGCCCCAGAACCUCAGGUGGUGGGCUGCCUCCUGGGGGUCUCUGCAGCAGGUCUGGGAUCCUGAAAACUUUGUCUGAUUCCCAGUGAGAAUCCUGCCAGAACAGAGCCCCAUCUCAGAGAGAGGCUGCUGGAGGCGGUGGGGAGGACCGGCAGCGGCUUUUCAGGAGGUAGCACUGAAGCCAUCGGUCCUGGGUGCUAUGGGCUACGUGAACUCCAGAUUAAUCCAGCAAGUGGGUCAGCCAAGCCCCACGCGCCCCUCGCUCCAUCCUGGGCCUGCUCCCCCAAGACGUCCUUUCCCUCAAAUUUAAUCAAGGGCCAGGCUAAGGCAGCAGGUAAAGCCCUGGGCCAGGAACCUGGGGACGCUGAGUUCUCACCCAGCACCCAGGGGUAUCAAUGGCAAAACGGGCCCCUCAGGUCACAAGGGUGAGUCAGAGCCAGGAGGAGCACUGAAGUGUCAAAAGAGCCGACCGGAGCAGACAAUCAGUGAGCACUGCCCUGGCCAGACCGCAACCGCCUCAAAGAUCACAGAUGACCCAGAGGUCAGAGUGGACCCCUAGCCAACAGAACAGGAUGCAGCCCUGAGCGUGUCCUCAUUAUGAGAAGCGUAUUAUCCAGUCUGGAAGAGUUCCCUAGUUCUCUCCUAGAGACAGGAGCAGAUCCCCAGGAGGCCAGGCUGCUGGCGACAAUUAGGGCCACUCUGGCAAUUUAACCUGAAAAGUAAACAUCCAUGGAAGGAAGGGGCUGUGUGUGCUGGGUUGCUUCACGCUUCAACAGGUGGGGCCAGGCCGGCGUGCAGACUGAACGUACAGUGGGUGCCGGGCAAAGGGCCAAGAGCCACACACGCGUCCCCUCACCGCACGCUCAGCCACCCUUGGGGUCAUGGUUACUCCUGUACUGCACUAUUCCAGGAGAAACUGAGGUUCAGGCUCAGCUAGUUGCUCAGAGUCACACAGUAUUCAAGCCCUAUCUGAGCCACACAGUAGAGCCAAGGCAGGCAGGUGGAAGGCAGGCUCAGGGACCAGCGGCACGAGGAUGACCCACCUGCCCUUCGGGAAGCCAGAGGCCCCAUGGGAAGGAGUGCCUAGCCUUGGGGGUCUGUGACUUUGGGGGGUUGCUGCAGGUCAAGCCCUGAGUGCCAAGGCCACCAGGACCCAGGUCAGGCAGCCAGAAAGGCUGUGUUACACCCGCACGUGCACACACGGGGCCACAUCUACACGCAGUAUGCACUCGCGCCUGGUACGGCCUCGUGGGGGCCGCGCCGACCCCCAGGAACCAGAGCAGUUGAAUGUAGCCCUGAGUGCUUAAAGAACGAUCCCACCCCAUCCCCUGAUGCAGGUGGGUGGCCCGGAUUUGACAGGAUGUUUCCCAAACAAGCAGGCAUAUGACUUCCUGGAAGCUCUUCCUCCGCCUCCCCUCACACCCAGCGCACAGCAGACACACAGCAGCUCCUCUCCACCAGGCCCCCUCCUCACACCUGCUGGCCAAAUCCUGAAGGAUUUCCAGCCUUCCUUCUAGAAAAUCAGCUGCUCAGCAGGGGACACGGAGGCCCAGCCCUGGCCAGCCAACUUCCCCUUUCCUUAGGUGGGGAUCCUGGCAGGAGAGUAGGGGCCAGAAGCAGUGGCGGGUGGGGAGAGCGAGGUGUCCUCAGGACAGGUGUCAGGCUCUCCCCUCACUUGUGUGGGUGUGAAGGCGGGGCUUCACAGAGCCCCCAGGUGAGCUGAGCCACACCCACAAGAGUGUCUCCACCACGAGCCACACCAGGAUGCGCCAGACAGCAAAGCCACCAGGGAUCUGCUCGGCCUCCAGCCUUGCCCCAGAUGCCAUGCAGAGAAGGAACCGGAGCCCCAAGGCCACCAUCUUGAUGACCAUCUCCACCGCAAAAAAGGCGAAAAUGAAGGCGUCAAAGGCCUGCGGGAGGAGGCAUCAGGAGGGAUGUUGCAGCGCUCGGAGCCGCACUCAACGUCCUCACAGGGCCGGAACAUGCCCAGGGUCACGCAGUUGAGCAUGAUUACCAGCAUGCUCACGUGCUCGAACCAUGUGUCGCCGCGGGUUAAGGAGCACACCGGCGCGGCCCGGGACCCGCUCCCAUGGGGCCCUCCAAAUGCCCACCCGGCCUGGACGGUGGCACAACUCGGGGCAGACUUUCCAGGGCCCCUGUCCCAGGGCUGCGCGGCCCCACCCUGACCAGGGAACCAGAGGAAGGAGGGAGAGGCAAUCCGUCAGCUGACUGUGGACCCAGGAGGGACCUUCCUUAAGGUAGAAGCCGGCAUUUGGAAAGCACCAACUUGUCAGCGAACAGCCUUGGGAAGUCAGGCACCAGCUCUGACAGUCCCUGCCGUCACCAACACGUGGGAACCGAGGAGGAGACAGAGCUGGGCAUCCUCUCACAGCUGAUUCAGGGGCAGCCCGGUGGCCGCCCCCACCCCUGGCUCUGGACUUGGGCCUGUGCUUGACUCUCGGGGGCCGCCCUUCCCAGCACCCACCUGGCGCAGACCACAGGCCUCAGCGCCCACGGCUCCCCCUCACCCCUGGCAGGCCUGCUUGGGACCCGGAUGAUGGUGGCAGCAGCGCCCCCUGCCCAACACGGGCCACGCUCACUACAGCGGAGGUCCUGGGUGCUGCGUGCAGCACUGGGGUCAGGGUCUGAGUGUCUCAAACUCUCAGGGAUCACAGGAAGGGCAGCUGCCACGGUAGGAGGGGAACAGGCUUGGUGACGAGGGCCUUCCCUGCCCCCACCUGUCACUCCAGCCUGGAGCCCCUCCCCCAGGGACCCCAGCAGCUCAUCCUGGAACCCUCCCUCCCACCAAGCCAGGGCCCAGCCUCCUAGCAGGUCAGCAUUUGAUGCCAGUGCCACGGCUCCAGGCCACCAAUGUAAUUACAUAUUCCCACCAAGAGUGCGGUAAUUACACUUAAUGGGUUCAGCGGUAACAGGCGCCUCUGCUGUAACACUGC
rnacentral:lncRNA from 1 species